CCUACGGGUGGCUGCAGUGAGGAAUAUUGGUCAAUGGACGAGAGUCUGAACCAGCCAAGUAGCGUGAAGGAUGACUGCCCUAUGGGUUGUAAACUUCUUUUAUAUGGGAAUAAAAUGUUCCACGUGUGGGAUUUUGUAUGUACCCUAUGAAUAAGGACCGGCUAACUCCGUGCCAGCAGCCGCGGUAAUACGGAGGAUCCGCGCGUUAUCCGGAUUUAUUGGGUUUAAAGGGAGCGUAGAUGGGUUGUUAAGCCAGUGGUGAAAGUUUGCGGCUCAACCGUUAAAUUGCAGUUGAAACUGGCAGGAUUGAGUACAGCAGAGGUGGGCGGAAUUCGUGGUGUAGCGGUGAAAUGCUUAGAUAUCACGAAGAACUCCGAUUGCGAAGGCAGCUCACUGGACUGCAACUGACACUGAGGCUCGAAAGUGUGGGUAUCAAACAGGAUUAGAUACCCGAGUAGUC
rnacentral:rRNA from 1 species